AAUCAACGCUGGCGGCGUGCCUAACACAUGCAAGUCGAACGCGAGAGGGCUUCGGCCCCGGAUUGAGUGGCGAACGGGUGAGUAACGCGUGGGUGACCUACCUUCGAGUGGGGAUAACGUCCCGAAAGGGACGCUAAUACCGCAUAACAUCCUGCUUUUGAAUGGGUGGAGAUCGAAAGCCGGGGAUCGCAAGACCUGGCGCUUGAUGAGGGGCCCGCGUCUGAUUAGCUAGUUGGNGAGGUAACGGCCC
rnacentral:rRNA from 1 species